UACGGAGGGUGCGAGCGUUGUCCGGAAUCACUGGGCGUAAAGGGUGCGUAGGCGGGUCUUUAAGUCAGGGGUGAAAUCCUGGAGCUCAACUCCAGAACUGCCUUUGAUACUGAAGAUCUUGAGUUCGGGAGAGGUGAGUGGAACUGCGAGUGUAGAGGUGAAAUUCGUAGAUAUUCGCAAGAACACCAGCGGCGAAGGCGGCUCACUGGCCCGGUACUGACGCUGAGGUGCGAAAGCGUGGGGAGCAACAGG
rnacentral:rRNA from 1 species